rfam:Vigna angularis cultivar Jingnong 6 scaffold113_18, whole genome shotgun sequence.
GCCGAGCUGAGUAACGUAAGCUUGUGACCUGAGUGGGGGCAUCAAGGUGAUUGAACAAGGCUUGGACUUGCUAAAGCUGGUCUAGAGGUUGCAACUUGCUGGCUUGCCCACUCCAAGUCUGGAGCUGAGCCAUGGGGUCUUUGCGAAGGCAAGGGCUUCCUGGUUCCUAGGCAGGAGGGCACUGCGUCAGGCUGGUUUCACAGAGCAGCGACAACCUCCGAUUCUUGACAGUGGAGGGAUAACAUAAUACAAACUUCCUCUUGAACAAUCAUUUUUUUUGUUAAGAUGUCCAGCGUCAUAAAUCUCUGUUUUA